AACGAACGCUGGCGGCAUGCCUAACACAUGCAAGUCGAACGAAGCCUUCGGGCUUAGUGGCGCACGGGUGCGUAACGCGUGGGAAUCUGCCCUUAGGUACGGAAUAACUCAGGGAAACUUGUGCUAAUACCGUAUGAUGUCGAGAGACCAAAGAUUUAUCGCCUAGGGAUGAGCCCGCGUAGGAUUAGCUAGUUGGUGGGGUAAAGGCCUACCAAGGCGACGAUCCUUAGCUGGUCUGAGAGGAUGAUCAGCCACACUGGGACUGAGACACGGCCCAGACUCCUACGGGAGGCAGCAGUGGGGAAUAUUGGACAAUGGGCGAAAGCCUGAUCCAGCAAUGCCGCGUGAGUGAAGAAGGCC
rnacentral:rRNA from 1 species